rnacentral:rRNA from 1 species
UACGUAGGGGGCAAGCGUUGUCCGGAUUUAUUGGGCGUAAAGAGCGUGUAGGCGGCCUGACAAGUCUGCUGUGAAAACUCGAGGCUCAACCUCGAGAUGUCGGCGGAAACUGUCUGGCUAGAGUCCGGAAGAGGAGAGUGGAAUUCCUGGUGUAGCGGUGAAAUGCGCAGAUAUCAGGAGGAACACCCGUGGCGAAGGCGGCUUCCUGGGGCCAUCCUGACACUGAGAAGCGAAAGCUAGGGGAGCGAACGGG